UACGGGAGGCAGCGGUGGGGAAUAUUGCACAAUGGGCGCAAGCCUGAUGCAGCCAUGCCGCGUGUAUGAAGAAGGCCUUCGGGUUGUAAAGUACUUUCAGUCGUGAGGAAGGUGUUAAGGUUAAUAACCUUAGCAAUUGACGUUAGCGACAGAAGAAGCACCGGCUAACUCCGUGCCAGCAGCCGCGGUAAUACGGAGGGUGCGAGCGUUAAUCGGAAUUACUGGGCGUAAAGGGCACGCAGGCGGUUAAUUAAGUUGGAUGUGAAAUCCCCGGGCUUAACCUGGGAAUGGCAUUCAAGACUGGUUAGCUAGAGUCUUGUAGAGGGGGUAGAAUUCCAUGUGUAGCGGUGAAAUGCGUAGAGAUGUGGAGGAAUACCGGUGGCGAAGGCGGCCCCUGGACAAAGACUGACGCUCAUGUGCGAAAGCGUGGGGAGCAAACGAGGGAUUAGAUA
rnacentral:rRNA from 1 species